rnacentral:rRNA from 1 species
UCUGGAAGAAUCUGGAGACAGGUGGCUGCAUGGCUGUCGUCAGCUCGUGUCGUGAGAUGUUGGGUUAAGUCCCGCAACGAGCGCAACCCUUGCCUUUAGUUGCCAGCAGUUCGGCUGGGCACUCUAAAGGGACUGCCGGUGUUAAACCGGAGGAAGGUGGGGAUGACGUCAAGUCCUCAUGGCCUUUAUGACCAGGGCUACACACGUACUACAAUGGCCGAUACAAAGGGCAGCGACACUGCGAGGUGAAGCCAAUCCCGUAAAAUCGGUCUCAGUCCGGAUUGGAGUCUGCAACUCGACUCCAUGAAGUUGGAAUCGCUAGUAAUCGUGGAUCAGCAUGCCACGGUGAAUACGUUCCCGGGCCUU